CGGACGGGUGAGUAAUGCGUAGGAAUUUACCUCAAAGCGGGGGAUAGCCCGGAGAAAUCCGGAUUAAUACCGCAUGUGCUCUACGGAGUAAAGCGGGCCUCUUCUUGAAAGCUCGCACUUUGAGAUAAGCCUACGUCGGAUUAGCUCGUUGGUAGGGUAAAAGCCUACCAUGGCGACGAUCCGUAGCUGGUUUGAGAGGAUGAUCAGCCACACUGGGACUGAGACACGGCCCAG
rnacentral:rRNA from 1 species